rnacentral:misc_RNA from 1 species
GAAAUGCGAUAAGUAAUGUGAAUUGCAGAAUUCAGUGAAUCAUCGAAUCUUUGAACGCACCUUGCGCUCCUUGGUAUUCCUUGGAGCAUGCCUGUUUGAGUAUCAUGAAAUCUUCAAAGUAAAUCUUUUGUUAACUCAAUUGGUUUCUACUUUGGUAUUGAGGUCUUUGCAGCUUCACACCUGCUCUUCUUUGUUCAUUAGCUGGAUCUCAGUGUUAUGCUUGGUUCCACUCGGCGUGAUAAGUUAUCUAUCGCUGAGGACACUGUAAAAGGUGGCCAAGGUAAAUGCAGAUGAACCGCUUCUAAUAGUCCAUUGACUUGGACAAUACUUUUAUGAUCUGAUCUCAAAUCAGGUAGGACUACCCGCUGAACUUAAGC